UUAAAUUGAAGAGUUUGAUCAUGGCUCAGAUUGAACGCUGGCGGCAGGCCUAACACAUGCAAGUCGAACGGUAACAGGAAGCAGCUUGCUGCUUCGCUGACGAGUGGCGGACGGGUGAGUAAUGUCUGGGAAACUGCCUGAUGGAGGGGGAUA
rnacentral:rRNA from 9 species